CAAAAAUGCACAUACUGUGAGCUCGAUGAGUAGGGCGGGACACGUGGUAUCCUGUCUGAAUAUGGGGGGACCAUCCUCCAAGGCUAAAUACUCCUGACUGACCGAUAGUGAACCAGUACCGUGAGGGAAAGGCGAAAAGAACCCCGGCGAGGGGAGUGAAAAAGAACCUGAAACCGUGUACGUACAAGCAGUGGGAGCACGCUUAGGCGUGUGACUGCGUACCUUUUGUAUAAUGGGUCAGCGACUUAUAUUCUGUAGCAAGGUUAACCGAAUAGGGGAGCCGAAGGGAAACCGAGUCUUAACUGGGCGUUAAGUUGCAGGGUAUAGACCCGAAACCCGGUGAUCUAGCCAUGGGCAGGUUGAAGGUUGGGUAACACUAACUGGAGGACCGAACCGACUAAUGUUGAAAAAUUAGCGGAUGACUUGUGGCUGGGGGUGAAAGGCCAAUCAAACCGGGAGAUAGCUGGUUCUCCCCGAAAGCUAUUUAGGUAGCGCCUCGUGAAUUCAUCUCCGGGGGUAGAGCACUGUUUCGGCAAGGGGGUCAUCCCGACUUACCAACCCGAUGCAAACUGCGAAUACCGGAGAAUGUUAUCACGGGAGACACACGGCGGGUGCUAACGUCCGUCGUGAAGAGGGAAACAACCCAGACCGCCAGCUAAGGUCCCAAAGUCAUGGUUAAGUGGGAAACGAUGUGGGAAGGCCCAGACAGCCAGGAUGUUGGCUUAGAAGCAGCCAUCAUUUAAAGAAAGCGUAAUAGCUCACUGGUCGAGUCGGCCUGCGCGGAAGAUGUAACGGGGCUAAACCAUGCACCGAAGCUGCGGCAGCGACGCUUAUGCGUUGUUGGGUAGGGGAGCGUUCUGUAAGCCUGUGAAGGUGUACUGUGAGGUAUGCUGGAGGUAUCAGAAGUGCGAAUGCUGACAUAAGUAACGAUAAAGCGGGUGAAAAGCCCGCUCGCCGGAAGACCAAGGGUUCCUGUCCAACGUUAAUCGGGGCAGGGUGAGUCGACCCCUAAGGCGAGGCCGAAAGGCGUAGUCGAUGGGAAACAGGUUAAUAUUCCUGUACUUGGUGUUACUGCGAAGGGGGGACGGAGAAGGCUAUGUUGGCCGGGCGACGGUUGUCCCGGUUUAAGCGUGUAGGCUGGUUUUCCAGGCAAAUCCGGAAAAUCAAGGCUGAGGCGUGAUGACGAGGCACUACGGUGCUGAAGCAACAAAUGCCCUGCUUCCAGGAAAAGCCUCUAAGCAUCAGGUAACAUCAAAUCGUACCCCAAACCGACACAGGUGGUCAGGUAGAGAAUACCAAGGCGCUUGAGAGAACUCGGGUGAAGGAACUAGGCAAAAUGGUGCCGUAACUUCGGGAGAAGGCACGCUGAUAUGUAGGUGAAGUCCCUCGCGGAUGGAGCUGAAAUCAGUCGAAGAUACCAGCUGGCUGCAACUGUUUAUUAAAAACACAGCACUGUGCAAACACGAAAGUGGACGUAUACGGUGUGACGCCUGCCCGGUGCCGGAAGGUUAAUUGAUGGGGUUAGCGCAAGCGAAGCUCUUGAUCGAAGCCCCGGUAAACGGCGGCCGUAACUAUAACGGUCCUAAGGUAGCGAAAUUCCUUGUCGGGUAAGUUCCGACCUGCACGAAUGGCGUAAUGAUGGCCAGGCUGUCUCCACCCGAGACUCAGUGAAAUUGAACUCGCUGUGAAGAUGCAGUGUACCCGCGGCAAGACGGAAAGACCCCGUGAACCUUUACUAUAGCUUGACACUGAACAUUGAGCCUUGAUGUGUAGGAUAGGUGGGAGGCUUUGAAGUGUGGACGCCAGUCUGCAUGGAGCCGACCUUGAAAUACCACCCUUUAAUGUUUGAUGUUCUAACGUUGACCCGUAAUCCGGGUUGCGGACAGUGUCUGGUGGGUAGUUUGACUGGGGCGGUCUCCUCCUAAAGAGUAACGGAGGAGCACGAAGGUUGGCUAAUCCUGGUCGGACAUCAGGAGGUUAGUGCAAUGGCAUAAGCCAGCUUGACUGCGAGCGUGACGGCGCGAGCAGGUGCGAAAGCAGGUCAUAGUGAUCCGGUGGUUCUGAAUGGAAGGGCCAUCGCUCAACGGAUAAAAGGUACUCCGGGGAUAACAGGCUGAUACCGCCCAAGAGUUCAUAUCGACGGCGGUGUUUGGCACCUCGAUGUCGGCUCAUCACAUCCUGGGGCUGAAGUAGGUCCCAAGGGUAUGGCUGUUCGCCAUUUAAAGUGGUACGCGAGCUGGGUUUAGAACGUCGUGAGACAGUUCGGUCCCUAUCUGCCGUGGGCGCUGGAGAACUGAGGGGGGCUGCUCCUAGUACGAGAGGACCGGAGUGGACGCAUCACUGGUGUUCGGGUUGUCAUGCCAAUGGCACUGCCCGGUAGCUAAAUGCGGAAGAGAUAAGUGCUGAAAGCAUCUAAGCACGAAACUUGCCCCGAGAUGAGUUCUCCCUGACUCCUUGAGAGUCCUGAAGGAACGUUGAAGACGACGACGUUGAUAGGCCGGGUGUGUAAGCGCAGCGAUGCGUUGAGCUAACCGGUACUAAUGAACCGUGAGGCUUAACCUUACAACGCCGAAGCUGUU
rnacentral:rRNA from 1 species